rnacentral:lncRNA from 1 species
AUCAAUAAGAAUACUCCUCUCUCUACUUUUCUCUAUAUUGUUCUUGUUCUUAUAUUAUUUCAUAACACGUUAUCAGCACGAGUCUCUACACAAUUAAGGGUAUUAACUCAGCAGCUGGUAUAGGAACAGUUCCAGCAAAGAGAAGUAGUGAAACUACAAAACUAAGAGAGAUCUCAAUUCCUUCCCAACAUCAAGAACGAACAUGAAAGAAGAAUUUUUUUUUAUUUGUUUAACAGUUUAACUUCAAAAACGUGCUUAAAUACUC